GGUAGAGUGGCCGAGUGUAAUGGCAGUAGGCUGUAAACCUACUUACAGGGGUUAAAAUCCUCUUUUUACCA
rnacentral:tRNA from 1 species